GCGGGUGUAGCUCAGUUGGUUAGAGCGUCAGUUUGUGGCAUUGAAGGCCGUGAGUUCGAAUCUCAUCACUCGCCCCA
rnacentral:tRNA from 1 species